rnacentral:lncRNA from 1 species
UUUUGCUAACAUAAUUAAAUAUUUUAUACAGAUCAUGUAACCAAUUAAAUAAGUUUUGGAGAUCUCCCCAACUCUAUAUUAAAUCCAUAUUAAAAGCCUUGUAAAGGCAAAGGAUGCAGUCUUGAGUUAAAAAUGAACGACAGUUACACAAAAAGUAAAAUUCCGAGCAUUACUCACAAAAUCUAUAUCGGAGGAGUAAAAAACAAAAGAAGUGAAUAAGCAGAGAUGUUCAGGUGAAGCCUUGAGAUGGCACUGGAAAUUUGCUGGUGGUUUGCAGUGAAAAGACCUCUGUCGACGGGAGUAUUAGCGGCGAUAUAAUUAAAAACCCAGAUUUACAGCUAAAAACAAAAAAUUUAUGCAAAGCUUCUUCUUUUCAGUUACCCAGAACGAAAAUCACCAGGAUGAAGUAAUUCGUCCUAUAACUUUUAUCAAACAAGCAAAUAUGAACGAAGUAAGCAGCAAGCACUGUCAAUCUGUUUAAGGCAGCUCUACCAACCGGAUUAUCAUAUUUUGAUUGUAAAACUCCACACAAAUAGUACAAAGAGCCAAAGAAGCUUUGAUGGAGGAGUAUUACAAGCUAGACUAUGACGAGUAAACUAUCGAGAAGGGCAAAGAGAAGAAGGCUUAUACAUGUUCAGCAUGGAGUCGUUAACAAAUAUAGAAUCACUGGAAACCGAUUGAGCUAUGAACAACGAAUCAUUAAUACAGAAAGAGCCCCCUAAAUCAGUAAUCUAUGAGUCCAGAUCAGCUAUAUAUGAUCGAGUAUACUCAAGCUCAAAAUCAAUCAACAAAAGCACAAAAGGAUAGAGUUAGAAGAGAUAAUGAAUCAUCACCAUGGCUGGAGAGUUAUUUGGAUUAAAAUCCCAAAUAAGAAAGACGAAGAAGAAAAACCAAGUGAUACACCGAAAUAAACCAAAGCUAAUGUGUUAAGUUUCUAGAACAAUAAUGAAAACCCAAUAGUUAGAGAAGCUUACUUGAGCUUUCAUCGCCGGAUCAUCGCCGGAUCGUCGCUGGAUCGUCGCCGGAGAGCAGAUUUGAUUCGUCGUAGAUAGCAGCCGACAAUCUCAGAGAGAAUACUUCUCAGGUUAGGUUAAAAUUCUGUGUUUUAGAAUGGCUGAGAAGCAUAAAUUAGAAGAAAAAAAAUCUUCACAAAUGAGUCUGAGUGCCAU